GAGAUUGGGACAAAAAGUAAUUAAAUUAGAUCUUAGGGACUCAAACAUGAAUCUGUGAUCUCACCCCUUUCUCUAUAACAAGCAAACCCUAGCCGUCUUACUUCGCAGAUCUUAAAAGUCAGAACUUUUCAAGUUUGUAUUUUGAGUAGAGCAUUCGUUUCGCUUAUUCAAUGUAAUCGUAAACCUUCGGAAUGCCUUUUGAGUUUUUUUCCCCCUUUUAUCUUCUAUAUAGCCAAAUAUGAGAUCGCAGAGCUCGUGUGCUGCGGUUCAUUUUGGCUGGUCUAAGUAAACCAUCUACCUUAUAAGGUGUUCUGUGCACACGGCUUGUGUGUAUUUUGUUUUUCUAUUUUGGGCUAUGAUAAGAAAUUUUGCUUUGAAUCCCUGUGAAGAAUUAUAUGAAAAUUAAAAGUAGUGGACUGAAUUUCCAUUUGAUGAUCAUUGGAUUCUGAGGGAUGAUGGCUAUUAGCCUCUGGUAUUACAAAGUGCAUAGUAAAAGUGGUGGUCUAUUUGGGUUUGUUUAUGUUUUGCUUAUAUGCUUUUGUAAAAAAAAAAAAAAAACAAAUGGGACUUUGCUUGUGAACUUGUUUUGUAAAUUAUUUGUGAGACUUAUUCAUUUAUUUACUUGGGGAAAAUCUUGAAAACUGACUUUGCAUUCCCACGAGGACUGUGUUUAGUAGAUAAUAGCGGACAUAUGUCAUUUGAUGGACAAACGAAUUCCGGGGUAGUUGUUUGGUAUUUUGGGGGUACUAUUAUUCUGUAUCUGUGUGCCUCACAAAAUCACUCCGGCAGCAGAGUUCUUGCUUUGGUAUUAUGGGUCUGGCUGUUUUCUAAGAGGUUAGUUUCGGGAUAAUGGGAUCUGAAAUGAUUCAGAUUGGUUGGGGAAGGUAAAUUCCUCCUCCGUCUUGAAAAUACUUCUCUGGUGAUGAUAUCAAUGCUCUCUAGCUGAGUACUCUUAGUUUUGUUUUGAUAUAAUAGAAAGGCUAGGAUCGGCUUGAGAAUCUGGAUGUGGGCAUCUACUUGACAUUUUGUCUUGUGUAUCCUGAAUCAGCGUUGUCACAUGGCAAUGUGCAAGGCUUUGGCAACUGUUCAAGAUCACACCCAAGUGAAGUGCCCCAACCUGAACAAGAAUGUGCAUGCUGCAUUUCGUAGAUUGUUGAAUGUGAGCUGCUGCUCAUCAGGCUGGAAUGCGGCAUAGCAAAUUGAAAUCAUUUCUGAUGGUAGUUGCCGGAGGCAUGAUCAGGGGAGAGGCUGGAGGCUGGAGAAUAAUGGCAGUAUCCCUUUCUUGCAUGCUCAUAAUCCAUCGGAUUAUGCCAUAAAAAAAAUUGUGAAGUGUAUUUUAGCUACUGUACCAAUCCACAUGUACGUUAAUAGUAUUCAUCAAACGUAUGUGUCUAUAUAUAUAUUUAUAUGAAAAUGCUGAAAGAGUCGCUCAAA